AUGAACGCUGGCGGCGUGCCUAAUACAUGCAAGUCGAGCGAACAGAUGAGGAGCUUGCUCCUCUGACGUUAGCGGCGGACGGGUGAGUAACACGUGGAUAACCUACCUAUAAGACUGGGAUAACUUCGGGAAACCGGAGCUAAUACCGGAUAAUAUAUUGAACCGCAUGGUUCAAUAGUGAAAGACGGUUUUGCUGUCACUUAUAGAUGGAUCCGCGCCGCAUUAGCUAGUUGGUAAGGUAACGGCUUACCAAGGCAACGAUGCGUAGCCGACCUGAGAGGGUGAUCGGUCACACUGGAACUGAGACACGGUCCAGACUCCUACGGGAGGCAGCAAUAGGGAAUCUUCCGCAAUGGGCGAAAGCCUGACGGAGCAACGCCGCGUGAGUGAUGAAGGUCUUCGGAUCGUAAAACUCUGUUAUUAGGGAAGAACAAAUGUGUAAGUAACUAUGCACGUCUUGACGGUACCUAAUCAGAAAGCCACGGCUAACUACGUG
rnacentral:rRNA from 1 species